AGUGAACGCUGGCGGUAGGCCUAACACAUGCAAGUCGAACGGCAGCACAGUAAGAGCUUGCUCUUACGGGUGGCGAGUGGCGGACGGGUGAGGAAUACAUCGGAAUCUACUUUUUCGUGGGGGAUAACGUAGGGAAACUUACGCUAAUACCGCAUACGACCUACGGGUGAAAGCAGGGGAUCUUCGGACCUUGCGCGAUUGAAUGAGCCGAUGUCGGAUUAGCUAGUUGGCGGGGUAAAGGCCCACCAAGGCGACGAUCCGUAGCUGGUCUGAGAGGAUGAUCAGCCACACUGGAACUGAGACACGGUCCAGACUCCUACGGGAGGCAGCAGUGGGGAAUAUUGGGCAAUGGGCGCAAGCCUGAUCCAGCCAUACCGCGUGGGUGAAGAGGGCCUUCGGGUUGUAAAGCCCUUUUGUUAGGAAAGAAAAGCAGCAGGUUAAUACCCCGCUGUUCUGACGGUACCCAAAGAAUAAGCACCGGCUAACUUCGUG
rnacentral:rRNA from 1 species